AUAGUCUCACAUCGCCCCCACCCUCCCCCUCUUCGCCUCCCUCCUCCAACAACUCGCCACCGGCCCUCCAACUCCCCUGCUCUCACCUCGCAGUUCCGGGAGCUACCAGAUCCGCUGAACCCCCAACCCAUCCAUCCCUCUCCAACCCAUGGCUAGGGUUUCGGUCUCCUUCAGAUUGUUCAACCUCGCCUCACAUACUCCCCCUUCCUCCCAGAUCCACCAGGCUGCGCUCCUCCCAUGGCAUCCAUGGCGCGGGUCAUCCUACAACAGCUGAUAUGUGACGAGCGAGGCAGGGAAGAGGUGUUCCUUCUCAUGAUCUGCAGUGCAUCUCGUGUUCCAUGACGUCCUUGGAGAUAUGUACACGACUGCUUCAGCACGUACAACCACGGUGGUGUUAAUUUGGCACGUGGCUAUGGAACCUUGGAGGAGUUGCUCAAGUCAUCACGUGGGCACAACUAGGUGUAAACAAGAGGACGGUAAAAACUAACUUCCAUUUGUUGUUGAUGCUUAUCAUACAAAAAUCAUACAACCCCAAUCAUCCUGGGAUGAUGUGUUUGUCUGCAAUAUACAGUGACUUGGUCAUCAUAUACGCAUUAGACCAACAGUGAACAUAUUAAAGUUAGUUGCCAAGAGCAAGUGUGCUACUACUAGUCUGCUACAUAGGAGUCAUUUGUGCAUGCAAGUGAUGUGCGUACUUGUACAGUGCUCCUCCGUAAAGGCUUGGUGGCCCUGUGCCGCAAGCUAGUGUGCUACUACAGAAUGAACAUUAAAGCAUGCAAGUGUUUGCGCUAGCUUAGAGUGGUACAGUUUGGGUAAAUACCUUACUGUUUGUGCUACACAAUUGGAAUGAGUGUUGGUGGUGUUAGUUUUUACUUAAGAAAAUUUAUCACCUACUCAAUUUGUCAAGUAUAUACUCUUUUUUAUGUGGUAUUUAACGAAAUUGUACCAAAAUAAUAUGGUAUAUAUCGAAACCUUGUCGAGGGAACAUCAAGGCUUCAUUACUGCCUUGAUGUCUCAUUCAAUUAUUACUUGACUUCUUAAUAUAGUUGUAUGAUUAACCCUUCUGUUUUCCCUUCUUUGGGUUUGCAAGCAACAAUUUCAUUGAUGUUGAGUGUUUUUCGCUUAUUACAGCAGAGAUGGUGAAUUUUGUACUAUUGUAUUUACAGAAAUGCGUGUACAUAGAUUUGCAAUCUGAAGGAGCGAUGAAGUGAAGAUUGAGUGCUUUUCUUUAAGAUUAAUAAUAGAUGGUAUAUUUUUUUGUUUUGAUUUAAGAGUGUUUGAUCUGGUACAUAGUGCAUUUGUUUAGUCUCAAAAUUUCAGUGUUAUCUCUCUAUUUCUCAUAUUAUUCACACCACGUCAUUGGUGAAAGCCUGCUGAAAAGAAUAAUUAAACAAUGGUGUGCUAAGUUAAACUAAAAUGUUAUGUACUAAAGGAAAAAAAUGACAUCUAGGUAUAUUCCCUUGAAUGAUUUACUAAAUACAUUUUCAUGUGAGGGCUCUUUACAGAAAGUAACUGAGAUCCAUUUAGAAAAUCAUGUUAAUAUUUUUUUGCGUAUCAUUAACUAAUGGUUCCAUUGUUAACAUUGUAUUAAUAAUCUUGUACCCUUUUUAUAAUACUAUCCCUCGUAUUCAUUUUAUUGUAAAGACAAUAAUCAGGAAGUGGCAUGUAUAAAAUUUCAACAUUUGCUCUCUCUCUCUCAAUUCCUUGUCCCAUCUCAUUCUGAAGUUUGGGCAGAGAUAAUUAUUUACCUUGUAUGCCAUGAAGACUAUGAUUUAUUGUAAUUGGAGAAUGCAUGCGUUUUUCUCUUCCAACAUAUAUUAUUGUUCUUCACAAUUCCCGAGUGUGGUUAUAUAUAGAUUGCUUGGAAAAUCAACUAAUAUUGUUACUCUAUUCAUUUGGGAGUUAGUUGUUAUAACUUACUAUAAUUUUGUAUGUGUUGAAUUUUUUGCAGGUUUGGCAAUUAGUCCGUGUCACUGGAGAUUGAAGCUUUUUAGCAGGAAUUACUUGGGCCCGAAUAGCUGCCUGGAAGUGGUGGUGUACUGUUGGAGAUUAAGAUAAACUAGUAGUGCAUUUUAGUCAUGUUUAUUUGAAAAUUUAAAAAAUACUUAUAGUGCGUUCUAGAUAUGCUUCUGAUAUUUUGAUAUUAAAUUUUGUUUUUUGUUGGAAAUCUGUAAUUGUCUUGUGAAUGAGUGCUAUUAUUUGAAUGAAUAUAAUUUGGUUGCAUUUGUAAA